CGAAGGAUGCAAGCGUUAUCCGGAUUAUUGGGUUUAAAGGGAGCGUAGGCGGUCUUAUGAGUCAGUGGUGAAAUCUCGUUGCUUAACAACGACCGUGCCAUUGAUACUGUAGGACUUGAGUACAGUUGCCGUUGGCGGAAUGUGUCAUGUAGCGGUGAAAUAGCAUAGAUAUGACACAGAACACCGAUUGCGAAGGCAGCUGACGAAACUGUAACUGACGCUGAGGCUCGAAAGCGUGGGGAUCAAACAGGAUUAGAUACCCUGGUAGUCCACGCCCUAAACUAUGAUUACUCGCUGUCGGCGAUAUACAGUCGGUAGCUAAGCGAAAGCGUUAAGUAAUCCACCUGGGGAGUACGCCCGCAAGGGUG
rnacentral:rRNA from 1 species